CUCUAGCCCCCGGGCUAGUAGGCUCUGCUCAGUGAUUAUUAAAUAGCCGCAGUAUUUUGACUGUGCUAAGGUAGCAUAGUAAUUAGGCCUAUAAUAGAGGUCCGGAAUGAAGGAGUUGACGAUUUUUAGGCUUUCUUAACUAAAGAAUUGGAAUUUUAUAUUUAAGUAAAAAAGCUUAACUUUUUAGAAAGACGAUAAGACCCUAUAAAGCUUUACUAAUUUCCAAUUAAUAUCCGGGGACUUAUUACGCGGGGUUAGUUGAGCUGGGGCGGCAAUAAAUAUUCUUUUAUAGAGAGAACAAGAUAUUUGAAAAGUGAGAUCUAAUGGAACUUAGAACAAGCUACUUUAGGGAUAACAGCGCAAUUUUUUUAAAGAGAUCUUAUCGAUAAAAAAGACUUGCGACCUCGAUGUUGAAUUGAGGGGCCGGGGUCAAGCAAAAAUGAUCCUAGGGAGUCUGUUCGACUUUUAAUUCCUC
rnacentral:rRNA from 1 species